rnacentral:rRNA from 1 species
AUUGAACGCUGGCGGCAGGCCUAACACAUGCAAGUCGAGCGGAUGAAGGGAGCUUGCUCCUGGAUUCAGCGGCGGACGGGUGAGUAAUGCCUAGGAAUCUGCCUGGUAGUGGGGGAUAACGUCCGGAAACGGGCGCUAAUACCGCAUACGUCCUGAGGGAGAAAGUGGGGGAUCUUCGGACCUCACGCUAUCAGAUGAGCCUAGGUCGGAUUAGCUAGUUGGUGGGGUAAAGGCCUACCAAGGCGACGAUCCGUAACUGGUCUGAGAGGAUGAUCAGUCACACUGGAACUGAGACACGGUCCAGACUCCUACGGGAGGCAGCAGUGGGGAAUAUUGGACAAUAGGCGAAAGCCUGAUCCAGCCAUGGCGAGUGUGUGAAGAAGGUCUUCGGAUUGUAAAGCACUUUAAGUUGGGAGGAAGGGCAGUAAGUUAAUACCUUGCUGUUUUGACGUUACCAACAGAAUAAGCACCGGCUAACCUCGUG